GAGACCAUCAGCCACAUAACCCUAGGGUGUGUCCUCGCCAAGCAAGCUUGGGCAAUCAUCCCGACAACUGGGGAAAGCGACUGGAUGCCGCAUCGAGAUGCAAGACUACUGGACUGGUGGACCACGCUCAACCCUCCAAGGCAGUUCAGAAAGGAAAUCUGGACCGUGAUCAUCCUUGUGGCUUGGAUGCUAUGGAAGCAUAGGAAUGACAUCUUGUUCAACAGAGCUUCACCCUCAGUAGACGACGUGCUCAAACAGAUUGAUGUUGAGUCCCAAAGCUGGAGGACGACACAACUACUACGGAUACCAUGA
rnacentral:rRNA from 1 species